UCUCCCACUCCAUUUCACAAAUGCAGCACAAUCAAUCUCGCCACUCUGUUCCAUCAGAUUUCUGUAUUUAGUUUCAGUAUCAUACUGUGUGAUGGGACGGGUGAUAUUUAGAUUGGGAAGGUGGGGUAGGCCAAACAAACUCCUUUAUCCACAGGGCCAACUAGCCAGCCAGACAGUCAGCCAGGUUGACAGUCAACCAGGUAGACAGUCAGGGGAAUACCCCCUAUCCACAUGCUGAGUGACUGGCUCCUGUAACAAAGCCUGACAUCUGCCCGGCGACAGGCGACACCUAGUUGCCUGCUAGACAGACACUGGGUGUUUUGUCAGUCCCGCUAAUUAAUGCAGGAAAGUCUAUAGCACCUCUAUUCGGUCCCUGAUUACCAGCUACAGUAGCUAUUUGAUCAAUCAAGCACCACACGAUAGCUCUCUUUCUAAUGGAAAUACAUGUAUUUUAAGCUCCCAAAACCCAGAGAACUGGCAGGAUAUUAGAUAUUUUCGUAUUCCCCCUCUACCCUUUAUUAAAUUAUAAAUUUUUUUGCUCAAUACAAGCCAUUCUGGAUGUAAUGUUUAAUUCAGAAACUGGCAUGAGAGUGUGACAUAUUAUUCUGGGGAGGGUGGCAGGGGAGGAUGCAGGUACUGGAUUAUGCUCAUAUUGAACUCUCCUGAUGAAACCAGCUAAGCCUCAGAAUUAGACACGAGCUACACCACACACGCACCCAUCCACGCACACACACACACACACACACACACACACACACACACACACACACACACACACACGGAGGAACGCAACCUGGAACCCUAACAAAGUAGGAGCUCCAGAUAAGGCUUGUUGGGUGUUAGUGUAGAACAUGCGCCUGCCUGGUGCAUUUCACCAGAAAAGGCUGAUAGCCACCUAGUUGGCUACGCUAAUCCGUCUGGAGACCCAGUAUUUUUAGCUGUGAUAUGAACACAUCGUUACCCUAUUAAAAGCACAUUUAAUAUGCCUUCUAAGUAUGUGUAUGGGCGUGGUUAAUUUGCGCAUGUGUCUGCGUGAGGGUCAUUUGUAUGCAUCUUUGGUAAUGUUUGUGUGUUUGGUAACGUGUGUGUGUGUGCGUGUGUGUAAGGGUUAUCUUGGUACAUGUGUUAGGGAACCAUUAGGGCUAAGCCUGCCUGCAUAUGAGUUUUAGAUUCUAGGAGACUGCAGACUUGACACGCUGCCAGACAUGGAAAGAGGCCUGAUUCACCCCACAGUGUAUUCUGCUUCCGGAUUAGCAAUGUUCACUUUAGAGAAUCGUCCGUGUGUAUGUGAGUGCUAGAGUGUGUGUUUGUACUUGCCACUUUCACAGACCAGAUUUAGGUUGCUCAGAUUUGUGUGUGUGUGUGGGUGUGUGCAGCCCACCCCAUGCUGAUUCCCAGUGCAUUAGGCUAACAUUAUGCUGAAGUUACUUAUCAUAAUGUCCUCCAUAUGCAUGUCUAAGGCCUAUCAUUACAGGAUAUGUGACUCACUCAUCACUCAUCACUUUCCCAGACCCAGGACACAGAGAACAAGGUGCACACAUACAAACACACAUACAUACACACACACACACAGACACACACACACCCAGACACACAGCUGAAUUUCAAAUACCGUUGACAAUACGGUAAGCCUCAUUCAGACUUUGGAAUUCUCGAGUUUUACGAUCUGGGAAUCCCAUAAUCUUAGAAUGUGUUCUGUUCCACAUUCCACGGGUUCUGUCUGCAAAUAGAAUCUUGCAAAAUGUGGACAUGGAAUGUGGAGCACAGCCUGUGUUUUUAAGCCCCUCUCAGAAUACAGUAUAGUCUGAAGGAUACAAUAAUAUCACAACGCCAUCAUUUGUGUUGGACGUCCAGGCUGUCAGUGUAAAUAACCUGGCCCCUCAACUGGUCUGUCUUGUUGGUUGAUAUCAAAAUCUAAUCACUUGAACACUUAAUUGCAUUAUCACAGUUGUGUUCCAUAUGAUGUUUGUGAGACCGGGUAUUGUUUAAUACUUUUAUUACUGAGUGAUGAAAGUGAUGUUCUAACGUGAGGUGUUGGUUGUGUGUAAACUGGGAUUUACAGUAGGCUGUCUAUGUAAGAUAAUUAUGAAAGUGUGUAUUUAUCUACAAGAGUCCCUGUGAAAGAUAAGAUGUUAUUUAUAACUGAUGUAAAUAGCAGUGAAAUGGUCAAUUAACAGACACAUAAAAAGAAGACAAGUUUCUUUCUGGGGCGGCUGUGGCUCAGGGGGUAGAGAGGGUUGUCUGUUAAUCGCAAGGUUGGCGGUUCGAUCCCCGACUCCUCCUAGGUCAUGUGCCGAAGUAUCCUUGAGCAAGACUCUGAACCCCAAGUUGCUCCCGAUUGGCAGGCCGGCGCCUUGCAUGGUAGCUCGCUGCCGUCGGUAUGUGUGAGUGAGAGUAUGAAUGGGUGAAUGAGAGACAAACAUUGUAAAGCGCUUUGAGUGCCGUUAAGGUAGAAAAGCGCUUCUCUUGCCACCUCUCCAUCUCUCCCUCUUUUUCACUCCUUACAUCUCUCCUCGCCCUCCUCACUUUCUCCAUCUCUCCCUUUCUCUCUUUCCCUCUCUCGUUCCCUCCCUCCCCCUGCUCUCCAUCUGUUAUUAAGAUGAAAGAGCGAGUGAGCCGGACUCUGCAGGGCUUUAAAAGCCCUGUGAUCCCUCCUCCAGCAGACACGGAGCACAUUUGAUGUUAUGUUAUUGAGGGUGAUGGUGCUGGGUGCUGGGUGAUGGUGCUGCUUGUUAGGACCAUGUCAGAAUAAUACAGUGCAAUUUUUCUGCCACACAUUUCCCAGCCACGGCCCAUGGACGUUUAUUUUUAAAAACCCUAAAUGGGUCACGUCAUCUCCGUAAAUUCUUGUCCGGCUUCAAAAAUCUAAAGACAACCAAACAAAGCCUUAAAUGUCCUCCUCCCGCUCCUCAUGUUUCUCCUGGUUGUACAUAGUAUAAAUAAAUCAUCGUGCAGCAUCGCUAAUGUAUGUGGACACGUGCAGGCUCUGCGUUCUCUGCCUGCCAAGGGCAGCUUGCUGAAUGAAAACGCAUUGGUGGCUAUUGUUCUUUCUUGUUUCGCUUUUUUUUGUUUUUUUUUACAAUGUUGACAAAAAUGUACCCUACAAUGAUAUUACAAUGGUUCUUGUCAGAGCCGGGCCAGCUGACACUGUUCCGCUCUCUGUCACUGUCAUUUUACCGCGGGUUUAAAUAUGCUGUGGCUCACCGUUGCCGUGGUGUUUUCGUUUGAAAUCUGUCGCCUGGGCUUCUUUCUGUCACAUUAUUUUUGUAUUCUGGUGUUCAUAUUAAAGUGUGAUGGGUUUAUAAAUAUGA